UACGGAGGAUGCGAGCGUUAUCCGGAUUUAUUGGGUUUAAAGGGUGCGCAGGCGGCGUGUCAAGUCAGCGGUAAAAUGUCGGGGCUCAACCCCGGCCGGCCGUUGAAACUGGCGUGCUCGAGUUGGAGAGAAGUAUGCGGAAUUCGUGGUGUAGCGGUGAAAUGCAUAGAUAUCACGAAGAACCCCGAUUGCGAAGGCAGCCUUCCGGCGCCCUACUGACGCUGAGGCACGAAAGUGCGGGGAUCGAACAGG
rnacentral:rRNA from 1 species